GAUGAACGCUAGCGGAAGGCUUAAUACAUGCAAGUCGAGCGGUAGGUGGCUUCGGCCAUUGAGAGCGGCGCACGGGUGAGUAACGCGUACAUGACCUGCCUGUCAGAAGGGGAUAGCCCUGGGGAACUGGGAUUAAUACCCUAUGGUAUUGAUAUUAUGAAUGAUAUAAAGUAAAGUUGAGGCGCUGACAGAUGGAAGGGCGUCAGAUUAGCUAGUUGGUAGGGUAACGGCCUACCAAGGCGACGAUCAGUAGGGGGCGGGAGAGCGUGGUCCCCCACACGGGUGCUGAGACACGGACCCGACUCCUACGGGAGGCAGCAGUAAGGAAUAUUGGUCAAUGCCCGCAAGGGUGAACCAGCCAUUCCGCGUGGAGGAUGAAGGCCCUAUGGGUUGUAAACUUCUUUUAGAUGGGAAGAAAAUGCUAGAUGUAUCUGGUACUGACGGUACCAUCAGAAUAAGCACCGGCUAACUCCGUGCCAGCCGCCGCCGUAAAAC
rnacentral:rRNA from 1 species